rnacentral:rRNA from 1 species
CAUGCCGUAAACGAUGAAUACUAGGUGUUGGAGGGUUUCCGCCCUUCAGUGCCGCAGCUAACGCAUUAAGUAUUCCGCCUGGGGAGUACGACCGCAAGGUUGAAACUCAAAGGAAUUGACGGGGGCCCGCACAAGCGGUGGAGCAUGUGGUUUAAUUCGAAGCUACGCGAAGAACCUUACCAGGUCUUGACAUACUGUGCUAACCUAAGAGAUUAGGCGUUCCCUUCGGGGACGCAGAUACAGGUGG